rnacentral:rRNA from 1 species
UACGUAGGGACCAAGCGUUGUUCGGAUUUACUGGGCGUAAAGGGCGCGUAGGCGGCAAUUCAAGUCAUCUGUGAAAUCUCCGGGCUUAACUCGGAACGGUCAGAUGAUACUGCUUUGCUCGAGUGCGGAAGGGGCAAUCGGAAUUCCUGGUGUAGCGGUGAAAUGCGCAGAUAUCAGGAGGAACACCGGUGGCGAAGGCGGAUCUCUGGGCCAUUACUGACGCUGAGGAGCGAAAGCGUGGGGAGCGAACAGG